CUGAUACGAUAUCCGUCUCUGCGGGCAGCUCGACAGAUAGAUGGGCACAUCUUACACAAAACCUCCAGUUUCAAAGUAAAAUAGAUGAAAAUACAUCCACUGAAAUAUACACGCCAUCAGUUGUCUUCCGAUGCCACCCCCUUGAUAGAUAUUAUAAUUCGUAUUAUAACCAUUAUUCGGCAAAUUGUAUUGAAUGUAGCAGAUACAGUAAUGCGGAUAUAUUGUUUUAUACAAUUCAUUGGUACGUUGAUGGACUUCAUUGCAAGACAAUCGGUCCUAUCGAGCGAAGUAGGCUACAGGAGACUGAUUUGACUGAAAGUGAAAUCAGUAAUGUGUGUGGACACAGGCAUUUCGGCUUUCAAAUUUAUUGUGCGUUUCAAUGGUCUGAGAUGAAGUUUGGCGACAAAUCCACACCUAUAUUCAGCCAACAAAUUCAAACCGGAUUCAAUGCGUGGACUAUUGGUAAAUCUGCUGCCGGAGAUUUUAUUAUUCCUUCAAUCUAUUCAACACCUAUUGGCUGCCAAUCCUCUGUUUAUGAUACAUAUGAAACGUGUUUGAUAAAAUCGGAACUAACUGCCCAUGGAACGUGUCCGUUUGGCACUGCAAACGACGUUCCAGAAUCGUGUGGUCUGCCAAUUUUGGGACUAACAAAAUACGGAUGGAAACGAUACAAUACACAAGAGUAUGCUUUUUGGAAACUUAUCUUCAACGAAACCUUUAAUGCCGAGUUACAGGAAAAUACCAUGUUGUUUAAUGGUUUUAAAAUUUUAAUAUCGUCGGAUGUUAAACUUCAAUCUACGAUUAUGAUUGCAACUUUUGCACCACUGAAGAGCGACCAC